GUCAAGAAGAGGAGCACAAUUGUUUCCCAUUUGAAUGCCGACAGUCUGUUUAAAAAAACCGUCCUCCGAACGUAACAAAUAUGUUGUCAAUCAAGAAAUCAAGCAUCUUGAUAAUGUCAGUUUCAGAUGAAAAAAAAUGUUUGAAUCAGAGUGAUCUUUUACGAAGUAGGAUUUAUCCCUUCCUAAGACAAGAUACUUGUAUCUACAUGGUUAUUCUUUUUUAUGAAACAAAGCAAUACCAACUCUUUCAAUUCGUCUUUUAGUUGGGAAUGUGGAAUACUUGUGUGAAGUGUAGAAAAGUCAAAUGUUUUAAUACAAUUGAAAGCGAGUUGGAUUGUAUAUAAUCUAACAGAUAUUUGGAAUAUUUAAGUAUCCACAUUUGAUUCACGUCACCUCUAGAAUAGGCAGUUUCACCAUAAAUUUGAAGCCCGGCUGUGAUUGCUGAUAAGAUAGAUGUUUAUAAUUUAGAAAGAGGUUUCGUUGAACACUUGGAAGACCCAGCAAUAUACUGUUGUUUGUAAGGACAUUUAUGUAGUUUAGUAUCCAAUACAAUGAUGGAAGAUCCAGUUCUCCCUCUUUGGUUGAAAUUCCAACGGAACAUAGAACAGACCUAUAAUUAUCCAGGAUUUCUUCUUUGGUAAGUGUCGUGAGGAUAUAUGUUUAGUUUCCAAGUGAAUUGUCAAUACCUAAUUCGUUUAUCAAGCAGUUAAUGUAAUGAGUUUUCCACACAAAAACGAUGUCGUUUGGGGCUUUAUCUGCUGGAAACAACAACAUAUUUGUCAUGGAGGUAGGAUAAGUGUUUUGCAAUAUUUGGGUCUUUAAAGAUUGACAUAUCAUGGGCAUUGAUAGACCCAUUCAGUUUCUUAAUUCUGAUUUGUAUCAAUGACCUCACAGCCUUUAUUCAUUCGGAGAAAGUGUAUACGUCUUCCUUCUCGCACUUAACCUGUUAGAUAGCAAAAUUUUACAUACACAAACG
rnacentral:lncRNA from 1 species